GACCUCGGAUCAGGCAGGGAUACCCGCUGAACUUAAGCAUAUCAAUAAGGGAGGAAAAGAAACCAACAGGGAUUGCCUCAGUAACGGCGAGUGAAGCGCAACAGCUCAAAUUUGAAAUCUGGCCCCUUCGGGGUCCGAGUUGUAAUUGUAGAGAGUGUUUCGGGUGAGGCCACGGUCUAAGUCCAUUGGAACAUGGGUCAUAGAGGGUGAGAAUCCCGUAUGUGACUGUGGGUCGAGCCCAUGUGAGCCUCUUCGACGAGUCGAGUUGUUUGGGAAUGCAGCUCAAAAUGGGUGUAAAUUUCAUCUAAAGCUAAAUAUUGGCUGGAGACCGAUAGCGCACAAGAGAGUGAUCGAAAGACGAAAAGCACUUGGAAAGAGAGUCAAAAAGUCAAAGUACGUGAAAUUGUUGAAAGGGAAGCGCUUGCAACCAGACCUGUCCGUGGUGAUCAGCCGCUGUUCUCAGUGGUGCACUCGCUCUGCGAUCAGGCCACAUCGGUUCGGGCGGCCGGAUAAAGGCCUUGGGAAUGUAGCUUCCCUCGGAAGUCUUAUAGCCCUCGGUGCAAUGCGGCCAGCCGGGACCGAGGACCGGCUUCGGCUAGGAUGCUGGCGUAAUGGUUGUAAGCGACCCGUCUUGAAAACGGACCAAGGAGUCUAACAUCUAUGCGAGUGUUUGGGUGUCAAACCCAGCGCGGAAUGAAAGUGAACGGAGGUGAGAACCCUUAAGGGCGCAUCAUCACCGAUCCAGAUGUCUUCGGAUGGAUUUGAGUAUGAGCAUAGCUGUUGGACCCGAAAGGUACGUUCGAAUUCCCCCCCUCCCCUUGAUGUAUAUAGAAUUAAGCUAACUUGUCCGACAGAUGGUGAACUAUGCCUGAAUAGGGUGAACCAGAGGAAACUCUGGUGGAGGCUCGCAGCGGUUCUGACGUGCAAAUCGUCGUCAAAUUUGGGUAUAGGGGCGAAAGACUAAUCG
rnacentral:rRNA from 1 species